UUAAACAGGAGAGUAGUAGCCAGGGGAAUCUUAAAGUUAAUCCAGCAUAUUGCUGUAAAAAGGUUUGCCAUCUGGAUCCUGCUUUGCUACAGUUUUGAAGCUUUGUGGCAUUUUCCUCCCUUCCUCUUCAUUUUCAGCUCUUGCUUGCGAGAGAGCUGAAAAACCUGCGCAACACUUCAGUGUUGCAGUGGGCUCUAAGAUGCUCUCAGAAACGCCUGUUCUGGUGCGUGCAGAAGGUGCCUGUCUUCUACCAGCCCGCAGCUGUGUGUGUGCCAGGAGGCUCGGACAGACUCACAGCCAUGGAGCAGGAACAACAAAAGCAGGCUCUCGCGGCUUCUUCCCAGGCAGAAGGGUGGAUGCUCUGUGUCUCCUUUGCCUGCCACUCCAGAUUCAAAUCACUCCACUAAGCUUUCCUGAGCUGUUUCAAAUCCCCCCUCUUUACCUCUAGUAAAGACCAGCGACAGCUGAAAGAGCCUCUUUGCAUACAAUAGCUCAAAACACUAGAGGGCCGAUUGGCUUGGUAAGCACAGCGCUGAGCCCGAACUUCACCGCACGCCUCUGAGGCUCCGGAUGCCAGCUCUGACGAGCGCAGCCCCAGAGAAACGCAUCAGCGAUUGCAUUUCAUACGAGCGACAAAUCUGCUUGGAAGAGACGCACAGCUGCUACGUUUAUGGAAAUGCAAUAACAGUGAACUUCUUGGAUUUGGCAAAGACUUUUUUGUACCAGAUGACUGCAUGCCAGUAAAAGAACCUAAGUGAAAUGAUAAGCCUGGCUCGCUCCUGUCUCCUAAAGAAGUGUGCUGCAGUCCAGAGCAUUUUGGAAGUUAAUGAGAGGGUUUUUUUUUUUUUCCCUCCUUUGGUUUUUAUUUUUUUUCAGAUUUCAAAACAUGCAUGCAAAUUUCAGCUGGCAGUGCAUGCACAGACCGUAUUUAAUAAACACAUCCAUUUGAAAGCAA